GAGUUUGAUCGUGGCUCAGGAUGAACGCUAGCGGCAGGCUUAACACAUGCAAGUCGAACGGCAGCACAGGUAGCAAUACUGGGUGGCGAGUGGCGCACGGGUGCGUAACACGUAUGUAACUUGCCUCUAACUGGAAAAUAGCCCGGAGAAAUUCGGAUUAAUGUUCCAUAAUAUAAAGGAGUGGCAUCACUCUUUUAUUAAAGUAUUACGGUUAGAGAUAGACAUGCGCUCGAUUAGCUAGUUGGCGGGGUAACGGCCCACCAAGGCUACGAUCGAUAGGGGACCUGAGAGGGGUAUCCCCCACACUGGUACUGGGACACGGACCAGACUCCUACGGGAGGCAGCAGUGAGGAAUAUUGGACAAUGGCCGCAAGGCUGAUCCAGCCAUGCCGCGUGCAGGAUGACGGCCCUAUGGGUUGUAAACUGCUUUUCUACGGGAAUAAACCCCUUUACGUGUAAAGGGCUGAAGGUACCGUAGGAAUAAGCACCGGCUAACUCUGUGCCAGCCGCCGCGGUAAU
rnacentral:rRNA from 1 species